rnacentral:rRNA from 1 species
GAAGACCACUCCUACGGGAGGCAGCAGUGGGGAAUAUUGCACAAUGGGCGCAAGCCUGAUGCAGCCAUGCCGCGUGUAUGAAGAAGGCCUUCGGGUUGUAAAGUACUUUCAGCAGUGAGGAAGGUGGGUAUGUUAAUAGCAUACUCAUUUGACGUUAGCUGCAGAAGAAGCACCGGCUAACUCCGUGCCAGCAGCCGCGGUAAUACGGAGGGUGCGAGCGUUAAUCGGAAUUACUGGGCGUAAAGCGCAUGCAGGUGGUUUGUUAAGUCAGAUGUGAAAGCCCGGGGCUCAACCUCGGAAUUGCAUUUGAAACUGGCAAACUAGAGUACUGUAGAGGGGGUAGAAUUUCAGGUGUAGCGGUGAAAUGCGUAGAGAUCUGAAGGAAUACCGGUGGCGAAGGCGGCCCCCUGGACAGAUACUGACACUCAGAUGCGAAAGCGUGGGGAGCAAACAGGAUUAGAUACCCUGGUAG